AGUUCGAUCCUGGCUCAGGAUGAACGCUGGCGGCGUGCUUAACACAUGCAAGUCGAGCGAAGCAGUUAAGUUGAUUUCUUCGGAUUGAUUCUUAACUGACUGAGCGGCGGACGGGUGAGUAACGCGUGGGUGACCUGCCCCAUACCGGGGGAUAACAGCUGGAAACGGCUGCUAAUACCGCAUAAGCGCACAGAGCUGCAUGGCUCGGUGUGAAAAACUCCGGUGGUAUGGGAUGGGCCCGCGUCUGAUUAGGCAGUUGGCGGGGUAACGGCCCACCAAACCGACGAUCAGUAGCCGGCCUGAGAGGGCGACCGGCCACAUUGGGACUGAGACACGGCCCAAACUCCUACGGGAGGCAGCAGUGGGGAAUAUUGCACAAUGGGGGAAACCCUGAUGCAGCGACGCCGCGUGAGCGAAGAAGUAUUUCGGUAUGUAAAGCUCUAUCAGCAGGGAAGAUAAUGACGGUACCUGACUAAGAAGCCCCGGCUAACUACGUGCCAGCAGCCGCGGUAAUACGUAGGGGGCAAGCGUUAUCCGGAUUUACUGGGUGUAAAGGGAGCGCAGACGGCAAGGCAAGUCUGAUGUGAAAACCCAGGGCUUAACCCUGGGACUGCAUUGGAAACUGUCUGGCUCGAGUGCCGGAGAGGUAAGCGGAAUUCCUAGUGUAGCGGUGAAAUGCGUAGAUAUUAGGAAGAACACCAGUGGCGAAGGCGGCUUACUGGACGGUAACUGACGUUGAGGCUCGAAAGCGUGGGGAGCAAAGCUCUUCGGUGCCGCCGCAAACGCAUUAAGCAUUCCACCUGGGGAGUACGUUCGCAAGAAUGAAACUCAAAGGAAUUGACGGGGACCCGCACAAGCGGUGGAGCAUGUGGUUUAAUUCGAAGCAACGCGAAGAACCUUACCAGGUCUUGACAUCCCGAUGACCGGUCCGUAACGGGGCCUUCUCUUCGGAGCAUUGGAGACAGGUGGUGCAUGGUUGUCGUCAGCUCGUGUCGUGAGAUGUUGGGUUAAGUCCCGCAACGAGCGCAACCCUUAUCCUCAGUAGCCAGCAGGUCAAGCUGGGCACUCUGUGGAGACUGCCAGGGAUAACCUGGAGGAAGGUGGGGAUGACGUCAAAUCAUCAUGCCCCUUAUGAUCUGGGCUACACACGUGCUACAAUGGCGUGAACAAAGGGAGGCAAAGCCGCGAGGUGGAGCAAAUCCCAAAAAUAACGUCUCAGUUCGGACUGCAGUCUGCAACUCGACUGCACGAAGCUGGAAUCGCUAGUAAUCGCGAAUCAGAAUGUCGCGGUGAAUACGUUCCCGGGUCUUGUACACACCGCCCGUCACACCAUGGGAGUUGGUAACGCCCGAAGUCAGUGACCCAACCUUUUAGGAGGGAGCUGCCGAAGGCGGGACUGAUAACUGGGGUGAAGUCGUAACAA
rnacentral:rRNA from 1 species